rnacentral:tRNA from 1 species
GAGAAAGACAUAAUGGUUAUGGUGUUGGCUUGAAACCAAUUGUAGGGGGUUCGAAUCCUUCCUUUCUUGUUUA